rnacentral:lncRNA from 1 species
GGGAAAGGACUGCAGCCGGGGAGAGCAGGACGCGCCAUCUCCAUUGGCACCCUCUCCCGCCCCACUUCCAUCGCUAGAAAACUAAGGAUUCGGUGUUGGGACCACUCCUGCCCUGACCUGCCCUGUGACUCCGUCAUACUCUCCAAAGGCCAGACCCUCCUAGACCAGCUGGAACCACCAUCAAGAUGUCCCCAGCCAUGUCAGACUCUGGGGCCCCAGGCGGAGGGCAACCAGAUGUCUUCAGCUCCAAGUCUGGCCUCUCCUCCCAGCAAGCAGCCAACUGCAGAGACCUUGGAAAGGAUCAACCAUAUACAAUGUCCAUUUCCUGCCCUCUAACCUGGCAGGGGAGCAAGGCCCAGCCAAGGAGUUACAGAAACUGAGGCUUGGCCAGGCGUGGUGGCUCACACCUGCAAUCUCAGCACUGGGAGGCCAAGGUGGGCAGAUCGCUUGAGCCCAGGAGUUUGAGACCAGCCCGAGGAACAUGGCGAAACCCCAUCUCUACAAAAAAUACAGAAAUUAGCCAAG